CAGCCGCCGCGGUAAUACGUAGGGUGCAAGCGUUAAUCGGACUUACUGGGCGUAAAGCGUGCGCAGGCGGUUCGGAAAGAAAGAUGUGAAAUCCCAGAGCUUAACUUUGGAACUGCAUUUUUAACUACCGGGCUAGAGUGUGUCAGAGGGAGGUGGAAUUCCGCGUGUAGCAGUGAAAUGCGUAGAUAUGCGGAGGAACACCGAUGGCGAAGGCAGCCUCCUGGGAUAACACUGACGCUCAUGCACGAAAGCGUGGGGAGCAAACAGGAUUAGAUACCCUGGUAAUCCACGCCCUAAACGAUGUCAACUAGCUGUUGGGGCCUUCGGGCCUUGGUAGCGCAGCUAACGCGUGAAGUUGACCGCCUGGGGAGUACGGUCGCAAGAUUAAAACUUAAAGGAAUUGGCGGG
rnacentral:rRNA from 1 species